GACGAACGCUGGCGGCGUGCUUAACACAUGCAAGUCGAACGGAAAGGCCCUGCUUUUGUGGGGUGCUCGAGUGGCGAACGGGUGAGUAACACGUGAGUAACCUGCCCUUGACUUUGGGAUAACUUCAGGAAACUGGGGCUAAUACCGGAUAGGAGCUCCUGCUGCAUGGUGGGGGUUGGAAAGUUUCGGCGGUUGGGGAUGGACUCGCGGCUUAUCAGCUUGUUGGUGGGGUAGUGGCUUACCAAGGCUUUGACGGGUAGCUGGCCUGAGAGGGUGACCGGCCACAUUGGGACUGAGAUACGGCCCAGACUCCUACGGGAGGCAGCAGUGGAGAAUAUUGCACAAUGGGCGGAAGCCUGAUGCAGCAACGCCGCGUGCGGGAUGACGGCCUUCGGGUUGUAAACCGCUUUCGCCUGUGACGAAGAGUGAGUGACGGUAAUGGGUAAAGAAGCACCGGCUAACUACGUG
rnacentral:rRNA from 1 species